rnacentral:rRNA from 1 species
CGAACGCUGGCGGCAGGCCUAACACAUGCAAUUCGAGCGCCAGCUUCGGAGGGAGCGGCGGACGGGUGAGUAACGCGUGGGAACGUACCCUUUUCUACGGAAUAGCCUCGGGAAACUGAGAGUAAUACCGUAUACGCCCUUCGGGGGAAAGAUUUAUCGGAGAAGGAUCGGCCCGCGUUGGAUUAGGUAGUUGGUGGGGUAAUGGCCUACCAAGCCGACGAUCCAUAGCUGGUUUGAGAGGAUGAUCAGCCACACUGGGACUGAGACACGGCCCAGACUCCUACGGGAGGCAGCAGUGGGUAAUCUUAGACAAUGGGGGCAACCCUGAUCUAGCCAUGCCGCGUGAGUGACGAAGGCUUUAGGGUCGUAAAGCUCUUUCGCCAGGGAUGAUAAUUACAGUACCGGGUAAAGAAGGCCCGGCUAACUGC